GCGCGUGCUGGCAAUUCUGGUGAAAGGCCAUUAUCCCCAAUGAAAACUUACUCCCUGCGGUCGAACAUAUAUCUGCCUGCGUUUGUGGCAAGCGAAAAUAGAUUGCCCAAAAUGAUGCGCACAAGAUUCAUGCGGCAGUACAGCUCGUUAAUUUUAGCGUUCAUUUUUGGGGUUAUCGUGACCCGGUUGUUCUGCUGGCACACGGCGGAGAUCGAGAGCAUCACAUUAAAAACAGCGGAGGAGCAAGUUUUAAAGGUGGAAUCAACAGGGAAAAAAAUAAUGCUAACUACGCCAACUUACAACUCUCCGAAACCUACAACGGUUUCAAAUUACGUGGACUUCGGGGACGACGCUGGUAAAGUUAAAGGAGAAGAAAUCGCGACUGAAGAGCCAACUUUGAAAAGAGUAGAUUAUCCCCCACUAUUAAGUAACAAGAAACUAAUUGUAACACCUCAAGCAUGCCCGAACGACGAUUUAUACCUUUUGAUCCUAGUGAUUUCUACUGGUCGCAACUUUGAGGCAAGAAAGGCUAUUCGAAAAUCAUGGGGAAGAGCGGACACUUCCAAAAGGAACGUUACAACUCCGGAAAGUGUUCGUGUCAUUUUCGUCGUUGGUUCGGACGAGAAAAGUGACAGCCGAGUUACAAAGGAGGCAAAACGUUACAAAGAUAUCCUACGAGGAAACUUCGACGAUGUUUAUCAUCAAAACGAAUUCCAUUCUGUAAAAGCUUUGUUAGCCUUCAAAUGGGCUACGCUCUCCUGCCGUUCUAAAUUCAUCUUAAAAGUGCUCACUGAGAGCUUUGUCAAUGUUCCAGCCACUAUGGAAUGGUUAAGGAGCAAAAAGCCAGAGAGCUCAGACGUGCGGGAACUAUAUACAGGGUUCUGCCACGGACAUGAUACUGGAGGGGCCGCGGUGAUAAGGAAUAAAGAGAGCCCUUGGUACAUAACUGAGGAGGAGUGGCCAGAGGGAAGACUUCCGCCAUACGCCUCGGGAAUGGGAAUAGCCAUGUCUUUUGAUGUUGUAUCAAGGCUGGUGAAACUAUCAACAGAGGGCUCUACGUUACAUAUUGAGGACGUCCAUAUCGGUAUUCUAAUGAAGAAGCUAUCUCUCACUUGUCAAGAUGACAAUUCGCGCUUUGACACGGCUUACACUACGAUGCUGACGGAAUGUGAAGACCUCAAGUUCUGCGUGCUCGGUGGAGUUCCAGCCAAAGACAUGUACUAUUUGUAUCAGAAUGUUAUCAACCUCAAAGAGAUUUGCUAAAGACCUUUAGAUAAUUCCUGGCACAAAUCUCUUAAUCAACGGACCUCCCCACUACUUGGACUUUGGGAUGAUGAAAAAUUCGAAUGUUCUUUUAAAAAAUAGUGUUGCAUAUCAACAACGUAUAUAACGCUUACUUUGAUUAUUGUAAAUAUUUUUGCUAUUAUCAAUCUUUAAACUAAGUCACAAGGAUUAUAGUAAUGUACUUUGAAGAUACUUAUUGUGUUUCUGAAAUGUUAAUAGAAAUCUGAGUAACUUUUUUCAAGGACUUUGGCAAGGCGCACAUACGCAGGACCCGUGCUAUAGCGUGGUCGCUUUCGCGCUCAAAUCCAACCUUCUGGGAAUACCGCCUAUUGGAAUUUUGCAUGCACAAAUUAAAAGGCGCCAGAUUUAGUAUAACUUAUAAUACGGGUUUAUGUUCCUUCGUAAUUUGUACUGAACCUUGGGGCAGGUCCGUUACCCUGUAUCCUGUACAUUCACACAGGGUGACCGUGACGCUUUCUAGCGCUGACUUUGAUGUCACAAUGCAAAUGAACUACGUAAAUCGUUCCACUGAUUUCAGUCAGUUUUACAGACUCGCUGAGAGUAACUGCACAAUGCCGUCGCUUCUCAGUAUUUAUCUUAUGGCUAUACUUGUGUUCUUUAACAGCGUCAAAUACGUGAAACCUCCGCAUUUUGGAAAUGAUGCAAAGAUGAGAAUUACGAAAAACAGCUACCUACUGACCAGGUCGGAAGUGGCCAGAAACGAUUGGAAAUCGUUCGAUACAAUUCGACUCACACAGACAUUUAGAGGGACUUAUAUUUUUGAGACAGAAAAUCCCCACGUUGUCUUCAAGCCUAUCCGACUCUUUCCUAAGAAAGACAAGACGACACCCGGGGAAAAUCUGCUGAGUGAAGGCGAGAGAAGACUUGCGACAGAUGACACUAAGCAAGAAACUACACUGGCAACAGCAGACCAGCACAUGCUAAUAAGGUGUAGGGUGGACAUGGUAGAUAGGUGCGCAAACACAGACUUUCUGCUUCCCUACGAUGUUGACGUUAUCAAGUCUGAUGCUAUUGCCAGUAGACUUGAGAAAGCUAAGAAUGAUACCUCACAGUUCUUUGGUUCAGCUAUUGUUGAGUGGCCAUCAGUAUCUACCGCUACCAGUGAGCGAUUCCACUCGAUGCCCAAAAUAUGGCGGGGCCAAGUGAGCAACAUAGUACACAAACUAGGAAAAGCUUGGAGCAUUCUGGCGGAUUUUAGCCAGGAACCCAAUGGAAAUGCUGGAAAAAGUAUAGAGCUAGUUUCAAACGGUACAAUGGCUCAAAACGUCACAAUGAAUCGCAUUAACGUCCAGACCAUAGACGCAAAUACUUUUAAUGGUACUACGGGCCAGACAUCAAAUGGGGCUACUGUCCGGAGCAACACCGAACAAGAACCAAACUAUACAAAUACGAGGCUGACGAGGAAUACGUUUGUAAAUCGCCAUAGCAGAAGAAGAAUGAGGGCAAAGAAACAUGACGGACUAGAGACUAGGAUUUUGACACCACUUUUAGACAAGCUGUACAGUCAUCUGCAAGAUGGUUGGAGUCAAGUUCCUGACGCGUUGACCUUAGUGAAUUAUCUGGUACAUAACUUCAAACAAGGCCUUCAGAAACGCCACAGGGUGCCAGAGGGACGACCAAAGGUCCGCCUUAGGGACUAUGCCAAAAGGCCCGGGAAGACCAUAGCAUCGCUGUUAGGUCUACUCUUUAUUGUUCUCGCUGUGUGUUGUGCGCGGAGAUUUGUUUCUUGGCGCAGGCAGAGAAUGCCUCCUUUUGUACAUCGACGCGGCAAGAAAAGACGUCGCGGGAACUCCUACAGGAUUCUUGUGAAUGACUUUUUGAGAUGGAUCGGCGAGACUACAGUUCAUCCCGUCUUUGCAAAACUACAAAUUGUUCUUUCAAGAGAAAACUUGAUUCACAUCUGGUUAUGGAUUCUACAACUUAAAGAAACCUUUGAUGGCUAGCUGCACGCAGUUCGCUUUUAAAACAAUUCUUCCUCUUUCAGGUUCGCCCGAAGAAAUUUCUAUAUUAAAAAAAAAAACAAAAA